rnacentral:rRNA from 1 species
UACGUAGGUGGCAUGCGUUAUCCGGAAUUAUUGGGCGUAAAGAGCGCGCAGGUGGUUGAUUAAGUCUGAUGUGAAAGCCCACGGCUUAACCGUGGAGGAUCAUUGGAAACUGGUCGACUUGAGUGCAGAAGAGGGAAGUGGAAUUCCAUGUGUAGCGGUGAAAUGCGUAGAGAUAUGGAGGAACACCAGUGGCGAAGGCGGCUUACUGGUCUGUAACUGACACUGAGGCGCGAAAGCGUGGGGAGCAAACAGGAUUA